rnacentral:tRNA from 1 species
GAACGGGUUGCUUACUGGCAAAAGCACCAUCGGCAUCCUGUCAAUGGCGGCACUCUGUGCCGUGGUGGUUCGAAUCCACUCCCGUUCG